rnacentral:rRNA from 1 species
GACGAACGCUGGCGGCGUGCUUAACACAUGCAAGUCGAGCGGUAAGGCCCCUUCGGGGGUACACGAGCGGCGAACGGGUGAGUAACACGUGAGCAAUCUGCCCAUCACAUCGGGAUAACUCCGGGAAACCGAAGCUAAUACCGAAUACGACUACCUCCGGCAUCGGAUGGUGGUGGAAAGUUCCGGCGGUGAUGGAUGAGCUCGCGGCCUAUCAGCUUGUUGGUGGGGUAACGGCCCACCAAGGCUUCGACGGGUAGCCGGCCUGAGAGGGUGACCGGCCACACUGGGACUGAGACACGGCCCAGACUCCUACGGGAGGCAGCAGUGGGGAAUAUUGGACAAUGGGCGAAAGCCUGAUCCAGCAACGCCGCGUGAGGGAUGACGGCCUUCGGGUUGUAAACCUCUUUCAGCAGGGACGAAGCGCAAGUGACGGUACCUGCAGAAGAAGCACCGGCCAACUACGUG